UAAUUAUGUGAGACAUGAGUCCGAGAGAUACAUCAUGCAGAAUUGGUCCACUACACCAGGAACGGAGCAUAGCGGUGGAGAAAUUGGGGCAUUUCACCUUGGCACCGCAAAAUAACCAUGCGGAAGAGUUAUCCCUUCAUCUACCGCAAUAACAGCGGUGAUUGCGUCUAGAAACGCCACAGGGAGCUGGGUAGCACGCGAAACACCGCCAUCGCUACAAUACCGUGCCCAACUGCUGCCGAUCCAUCCUCUUUUAUCUAGCGUCGAGGUUUUGCCUCUCAUCCAUAACUCCUGAAACCCAAAGUCCCUCAUCCACGGUGUGCGAAAUCCACAACCUCUGCCCCAGGUUGUCGAGACGCGCAGCUGCCAUCCGAGCUUAUCCCACCAGCAACGAAGUUUCCUAUCUCCUCAAUUGAAACCAUGACACCCUGCUCCACAGUGCGCCAAUCUCGGCCAUCACUGCCUUUCCCCUGUUACUGGAAGCUUUUCUGAUAGAGUUGAAGGAAGUGGUCGUGAUGAUGAUAUGAGCUGCACAUCCAGAAGACGCCAAUUAAAAAAAUUGCUAAUAUUUACUACGAGAGUCAAAUGUAGGCAAAAUUAAUUGCCAGUAUUUAUUAAAUUAGUUUUUAAAAGAUAAAUUUUAAAUAAACUUUUAGUAUUUAUUUUUGAUGAAUUAAAUUGAAAAUAAUUUUCAAU